ACAGAGGUGGCAAGCGUUGUUCGGAAUUACUGGGCGUAAAGGGCGAGUAGGUGGCCAUCUAAGUCAGACGUGAAAUCCCCGGGCUUAACCCGGGAACUGCGUCCGAUACUGGCAGGCUUGAAUCCGGGAGAGGGAUGUGGAAUUCCAGGUGUAGCGGUGAAAUGCGUAGAUAUCAAGAGGAACACCUGAGGUGAAGACGGGUUGCUGGGCUGACACUGACGCUGAGGCGCGAAAGCCAGGGGAGCAAACGGGA
rnacentral:rRNA from 1 species